rnacentral:rRNA from 1 species
CCUACGGGAGGCAGCAGUAGGGAAUAUUGCUCAAUGGGGGAAACCCUGAAGCAGCAACGCCGCGUGGAGGAUGAAGGUUUUCGGAUUGUAAACUCCUUUUGUUAGAGAAGAUAAUGACGGUAUCUAACGAAUAAGCACCGGCUAACUCCGUGCCAGCAGCCGCGGUAAUACGGAGGGUGCAAGCGUUACUCGGAAUCACUGGGCGUAAAGCGCGCGGAGGCGGGAUAGCAAGUCAGAUGUGAAAUCCUAUGGCUUAACCAUAGAACUGCAUUUGAAACUGUUAUUCUAGAGUAUGGGAGAGGUAGGUGGAAUGCUUGGUGGAGGGGUAAAAUCCGUAGAGAUCAAGAGGAAUACUCAUUGCGAAGGCGACCUGCUAGAACAUAACUGACGCUGAUGCGCGAAAGCGUGGGGAGCAAACAGGAUUAGAUACCCCAGUAGUC